UCAGGGAGCUGUGUGUGUCCUGAACAGCCUGCAGAAUAAUGCUGCAGCUUUGGAGCAACUGCAUAGACGUCAGGAGACUCCAGGGAUGCAGCUUCAGGCAAUGCAAGGAUUCCUCCAUCGCACCGGCAUUAUGGUGGGUGAACUGGACAAGCUCAACAUCAUCCAUGUUACUGGGACCAAAGGAAAGAGAUCAACAUGUGCUUUUACUGAAAGAAUUCAGAGGAGUUAUGGAUUGCGAUCUGGAUUUUAUAGG